rnacentral:rRNA from 1 species
AAUGGCUGCAGUAAUAUAACUGUACAAAGGUAGCAUAAUCAUUAGUUUUUUAAUUAAAAGCUUGUAUGAAAGGUUGGACGAAGUAAAAUCUGUCUCUUUUUAAUAUAAUUAGAAUUUAAUUUUUAAGUAAAAAAGCUUAAAUUUAUAUAAAAGACGAGAAGACCCUAUAGAGUUUAAUAAUUAAUUUUAAGUAAUUAAUUUAGAUUUAUUUAUUUUAUUUAUUUUGUAAUUAUUUUAUUGGGGUAAUAAAAAGAUUAAUAUAAUUCUUUUUUUUAUUUUACAUUAAUGUAUGAAUUAAAUGAUCCAUUUUUAUGAUUAAAAGAUUAAAUUACCUUAGGGAUAACAGCGUAAUUUUUUUAAAGAGUUCAUAUCGAUAAAAUAGUUUGCGACCUCGAUGUUGGAUUAAAGAUUAAUUUAGGUGUAGAAGUUUAAAUUUUUGGUCUGUUCGACCAUUAAAUCUUUACAUGAUCUGAGUUCAAACCGGUGUAAGCCAGGUUGGUUUCUAUCUUUAUAAAAUUUUUAUAUUUUAGUACGAAAGGACCAAAUAUUUAAUAUAUAAAUAUUUAAUUGUUUUGAAUAU